ensembl:lncRNA LINC00662 long intergenic non-protein coding RNA 662
AAGUUUGAUUUCUCGCAGACCAGGAGGACCCAUUGGACCCCCGGGCUGGCUGCAGGGCCCACACCUGGGUUAGACCUCGCACAGGGACGCUGCUGCCACUGUAAUAAAGCGUGCCUACACGCUUCUGAAACUGGUGUAGGAACAACCUCAGUUCUGUGAAAGGCGGACGCAGCAGGACAGAAUCUCCGUGGACAUCUGUCUGGAGGAGCAAUUUUACUGCGACAUUUUAAAGAAACAAAUUUAAUUGAUUUCCAAGGGUGUCCAUCGCGCUUCCUUCACUGCCUUGAUCAUGUCGGGGUCACCACCUGCGGGGGUUUGUCCUGCAGACCCUGACUCAACGACGGAUGAAUAAUGUACACUGACACAGAUCUUAUGCUUGUCAGUCCUGCUGAGCAUCCAGGCCACUUACAGACUCCAAGAAGAGUCCUGUCAGCCACGGCUCUGACUUGUUGGCCCUCCCGGCAUUUAUUUAGCACACAUUUAAUGACAGAAGUCUCAGGUAUUCAAAUGGGAGAGACUCUUGACUGACACCAGGCAUUCUAAUGAGAGAGACUCCAGGAAGAUCCAGGCAGUCUAAUGAUAAAUAUACCUGGGCGAACCCAGCCAUUCUAAUUGGAGAGACUUCUGGCUACCUCAGUCAUUCUAAGGCUGGAAACACUCUUUUUGUAGAACAUACAAAUGGACAUUUCUAAGCACAUUGAGGCCUAUAAUGAAAAAUCAAAUAUCCCACAAUGAAAACUAGAAGGAAGCUAUCUGUGAUAAUGCUUUGUGGUGUAUGGAUUCAUCUCACUGACUGAAACCUGAGUUUUGAUUCACCAGGUUGGAAACUCUUUCUGCAGAAUCUGCAAAGAAAUAUUUCUGAGCCCAUUGAGGCCUACAGUGGAAAACUGAAUAUUCUGUGAUAAAACUAGAAACACCCUAUCUGUGAAAAUGCUUUGUGAUGUGUGGAUUUUUCUCAUCGAAUGGAACCUCUGUUUUGACUCACAAGGGUGAAACACUAUUUUAGUAGAAUCUAGGAAGAAACAUAUCUGAGCCCAUUUAUGCCUACAGUGAGAAACUGAAUACCCUGCAAUAAAAAGUAGACAGAAGCUAUUUGUAAAAAUGCUUUGUGAUGUGUGGAUUCAGUGUUAAACUUUUAUUUUGAUUCCACAGUUUUGACACCCUAUUUGUAGAAUAUAUGAAUGAACAUUUCU